AUUGAACGCUGGCGGCAUGCCUUACACAUGCAAGUCGAACGGUAACAGGUCUUCGGAUGCUGACGAGUGGCGAACGGGUGAGUAAUACAUCGGAACGUGCCUAGUAGUGGGGGAUAACUACUCGAAAGAGUGGCUAAUACCGCAUGAGAUCUACGGAUGAAAGCAGGGGAUCGCAAGACCUUGUGCUACUAGAGCGGCCGAUGGCAGAUUAGGUAGUUGGUGGGAUAAAAGCUUACCAAGCCGACGAUCUGUAGCUGGUCUGAGAGGACGAUCAGCCACACUGGGACUGAGACACGACCCAGACUCCUACGGGAGGCAGCAGUGGGGAAUUUUGGACAAUGGGCGAAAGCCUGAUUCAGCAAUGCCGCGUGCAGGAUGAAGGCCUUCGGGUUGUAAACUGCUUUUGUACGGAACGAAAAGCCCCGGGUUAAUACCCUGGGGUCAUGACGGUACCGUAAGAAUAAGCACCGGCUAACUACGUGCCAGCAGCCGCCGUAACAC
rnacentral:rRNA from 1 species